AACGAACGCUGGCGGCAGGCUUAAUACAUGCAAGUCGAACGCUCCAGCAAUGGAGAGUGGCAGACGGGUGAGUAACGCGUGGGAAUCUACCCAAUACUACGGAAUAGCUCCGGGAAACUGGAAUUAAUACCGUAUGUGCCCUACGGGGGAAAGAUUUAUCGGUAUUGGAUGAGCCCGCGUUGGAUUAGCUAGUUGGUGGGGUAAUGGCCUACCAAGGCGACGAUCCAUAGCUGGUCUGAGAGGAUGAUCAGCCACACUGGGACUGAGACACGGCCCAGACUCCUACGGGAGGCAGCAGUAGGGAAUAUUGGACAAUGGGCGAAAGCCUGAUCCAGCCAUGCCGCGUGAGUGAUGAAGGCCUUAGGGUUGUAAAGCUCUUUCAGUGGGGAAGAUAAUGACGGUACCCACAGAAGAAGCCCCGGCUAACUUCGUGCCAGCAGCCGCUGUAA
rnacentral:rRNA from 1 species